GCAAUCCAUUGAGUCUCCUGGGGUUAUGGCAACCAGGGGAGAAGUUCAACAUGAAGGCUUGUUCUGAUCCACUCAGGGAAUCCUAACACCAAGACGAAGCCAACAUGAA
rnacentral:lncRNA from 1 species